rnacentral:rRNA from 1 species
AUUGAACGCUGGCGGCAGGCCUAACACAUGCAAGUCGAGCGGAUGAAGGGAGCUUGCUCCUGGAUUCAGCGGCGGACGGGUGAGUAAUUCCUAGGAAUCUGCCUGGUAGUGUGGGAUAACGUCCGGAAACGGGCGCUAAUACCGCAUACGGCCUGAGGGAGAAAGUGGGGGAUCUUCGGACCUCACGCUAUCAGAUGAGCCUAGGUCGGAUUAGCUAGUUGGUGGGGUAAAGGCCUACCAAGGCGACGAUCCGUAACUGGUCUGAGAGGAUGAUCAGUCACACUGGAACUGAGACACGGUCCAGACUCCUACGGGAGGCAGCAGUGGGGAAUAUUGGACAAUGGGCGAAAGCCUGAUCCAGCCAUGCCGCGUGUGUGAAGAAGGUCUUCGGAUUGUAAAGCACUUUAAGUUGGGAGGAAGGGCAGUAAGUUAAUACCUUGCUGUUUUGACGUUACCAACAGAAUAAGCACCGGCUAACUUCGUG